GACGUAGGUGGCGAACGUUAUCCGGAAUUAUUGGGCGUAAAGGGUGCGUAGGCGGCAGGAUAAGUUAUUGGUGGUAAAUCGAGGCUCAACCUCGUGGAAACUGAUAAUACUGUUUUGCUUGAGUACAGGAGAGGUUAACGGAACUCCAUGUGGAGCGGUGAAAUGCGUAGAUAUAUGGAAGAACACCAAUAACGGCGUAGGCAGUUAACUAUUCUGUUACUGACGCUGAGGCACGAAAGCGUGGGGAGCAAAACGG
rnacentral:rRNA from 1 species